UACGUAGGGGGCUAGCGUUGUCCGGAAUCAUUGGGCGUAAAGAGCGUGUAGGCGGUUCGGUAAGUCCGCUGUGAAAGUCCAGGGCUCAACCCUGGAAUGCCAGUGGAAACUGCCGAGCUAGAGUCCGGAAGAGGCGAGUGGAAUUCCUGGUGUAGCGGUGAAAUGCGCAGAUAUCAGGAGGAACACCGGUGGCGAAGGCGGGUCUCUGGGCCGAUACUGACGCUGAGGAGCGAAAGCGUGGGGAGCGAACAGG
rnacentral:rRNA from 1 species